AAAUUGAAGAGUUUGAUCAUGGCUCAGAUUGAACGCUGGCGGCAGGCCUAACACAUGCAAGUCGAACGGUAACAGGAAGCAGCUUGCUGUUUUGCUGACGAGUGGCGGACGGGUGAGUAAUGUCUGGGAAACUGCCUGAUGGAGGGGGAUAACUACUGGAAACGGUAGCUAAUACCGCAUAACGUCGCAAGACCAAAGAGGGGGACCUU
rnacentral:rRNA from 2 species